rnacentral:rRNA from 1 species
GGAGGAAAGUAGGGGAUCGAAAGACCUUGCGCUUUUGGAGCGGCCGAUGUCUGAUUAGCUAGUUGGUGGGGUAAGGGCCUACCAAGGCGACGAUCAGUAGUUGGUCUGAGAGGACGACCAGCCACACUGGGACUGAGACACGGCCCAGACUCCUACGGGAGGCAGCAGUGGGGAAUUUUGGACAAUGGGCGCAAGCCUGAUCCAGCAAUGCCGCGUGAGUGAAGAAGGCCUUCGGGUUGUAAAGCUCUUUCAGUCGAGAAGAAAAGGCUGCAGUGAAUAACUGUAGUUUAUGACGGUAUCGACAGAAGAAGCACCGGCUAACUACGUGCCAGCAGCCGCGGUAAUACGUAGGGUGCGAGCGUUAAUCGGAAUUACUGGGCGUAAAGGGUGCGCAGGCGGUUUUGUAAGUCAGAUGUGAAAUCCCCGGGCUUAACCUGGGAAUUGCGUUUGAAACUACAAGGCUAG